UACGGGGGGAGCAAGCGUUAAUCGGAAUUACUGGGCGUAAAGCGCGCGUAGGUGGUUUUGCAAGUCGAGUGUGAAAGCCCCGGGCUCAACCUGGGAACUGCAUUCGAGACUGCAUUACUCGAGUAUGGGAGAGGGCAGUGGAAUUUCGGGUGUAGCGGUGAAAUGCGUAGAUAUCCGAAGGAACAUCAGUGGCGAAAGCGACUGCCUGGCCCAAUACUGACACUCAAGUGCGAAAGCGUGGGGAGCAAACAGG
rnacentral:rRNA from 1 species